UACGUAGGGACCAAGCGUUGUUCGGAUUCACUGGGCGUAAAGGGUGCGUAGGCGGUCGGGUAAGUCUGACGUGAAAUCUUCAAGCUCAACUUGGAAACUGCGUCGGAUACUAUUCGGCUAGAGGAAUGGAGGGGAGACUGGAAUACUUGGUGUAGCAGUGAAAUGCGUAGAUAUCAAGUGGAACACCAGUGGCGAAGGCGAGUCUCUGGACAUUUCCUGACGCUGAGGCACGAAAGCCAGGGGAGCAAACGGG
rnacentral:rRNA from 1 species